GUUCGGUGGAAACGAGAAUAAAACGUGAAGGAUAACGUUGCGUCAGCAACGGCCCGUAGGGCGAGGCAAAGCCGAGUCAUCCUGCACAACCCACCA
rnacentral:sRNA from 22 species